UAGGGAAUCUUCCGCAAUGGGCGAAAGCCUGCCGGAGCAACGCCGCGUGAGUGAUGAAGGUCUUCGGAUCGUAAAACUCUGUUAUUAGGGAAGAACAAAUGUGUAAGUAACUAUGCACGUCUUGACGGUACCUAAUCAGAAAGCCACGGCUAACUACGUGCCAGCAGCCGCGGUAAUACGUAGGUGGCAAGCGUUAUCCGGAAUUAUUGGGCGUAAAGCGCGCGUAGGCGGUUUUUUAAGUCUGAUGUGAAAGCCCACGGCUCAACCGUGGAGGGUCAUUGGAAACUGGAGAACUUGAGUGCAGAAGAGGAAAGUGGAAUUCCAUGUGUAGCGGUGAAAUGCGCAGAGAUAUGGAGGAACACCAGUGGCGAAGGCGACUUUCUGGUCUGUAACUGACGCUGAUGUGCGAAAGCGUGGGGAUCAAACAGG
rnacentral:rRNA from 1 species